CUGGGGCUGUCCUGGGCCGUCACAUGCGAGAAAUCGUCUCACCCCAGCCAGUGUGAGCAAAAGAAAGUUUUGAUAGCAGCGUACGAUUUAUAUUCAGCUGUAUGCUGGGCAGGUUACCUAACAACUCAGUGACUCAGUUUCCUUAUCCAUAAAGUAAGGAUAAUGAUAGUAUCUACCGCGCAGUGUGGUCGUGAAGCGUAAAUGAAACUCAGAUUAAAUACGUAGAACAGUGCCUGGCACAUAGAGCGUGUUCAGUCCAACUUGGCAUUUCUUGGCUGUAUCUCUGAAGGAAAGUCAUCUUAAUCUCUAUGAGCCUCCAUUUCCUCAGCUGUAAAAUGGGAAGAUCUUCCUCACACUGCUGUGACAUUUAGUGAGUGCCUGCUGUGUGUCAUCCAUUGUGACAGUGUUGGGAACACGGAGAUGAAUAAAACAAGGCCCCUGUCCUGGGAGAGCCGAGAGGCCACCUGUCAGCUGACAUCUUAGGGAGGACACCAUCUACAUCCAACCCUGACUACUGAACACUUCCAGUUUCUUGGAAGAAAGAUUUUAAAAUCUUCAGAAAU